rnacentral:rRNA from 1 species
CACGGGGGGAGCAAGCGUUGUUCGGAAUCACUGGGCGUAAAGGGCGUGUAGGCGGUUCAGUAAGUGGAAUGUGAAAUCCCUCGGCUCACCCGAGGACCUGCAUCCCAAACUGCCGAGCUUGAGUAUGGGAGAGGAUGAGGGAAUUCCUGGUGUAGCGGUGAAAUGCGUAGAUAUCAGGAGGAACACCGGUGGCGAAAGCGCUCUACUGGGCCAUAACUGACACUCAGGGACGAAAGCUAGGGGAGCGAAUGGG